rnacentral:rRNA from 1 species
AUUGAACGCUGGCGGCAGGCUUAACACAUGCAAGUCGAGCGGAGAGAGGUAGCUUGCUACUGAUCUUAGCGGCGGACGGGUGAGUAAUGCUUAGGAAUCUGCCUAUUAGUGGGGGACAACAUUUCGAAAGGAAUGCUAAUACCGCAUACGUCCUACGGGAGAAAGCAGGGGAUCUUCGGACCUUGCGCUAAUAGAUGAGCCUAAGUCGGAUUAGCUAGUUGGUGGGGUAAAGGCCUACCAAGGCGACGAUCUGUAGCGGGUCUGAGAGGAUGAUCCGCCACACUGGGACUGAGACACGGCCCAGACUCCUACGGGAGGCAGCAGUGGGGAAUAUUGGACAAUGGGCGGAAGCCUGAUCCAGCCAUGCCGCGUGUGUGAAGAAGGCCUUAUGGUUGUAAAGCACUUUAAGCGAGGAGGAGGCUACUUUAGUUAAUACCUAGAGAUAGUGGACGUUACUCGCAGAAUAAGCACCGGCUAACUCUGUGCCAGCCGCCGCGGUAA